CCUACGGGUGGCUGCAGUGGGGAAUCUUGCGCAAUGGGCGAAAGCCUGACGCAGCGACGCCGCGUGAGUGAUGAAGGCCUUCGGGUUGUAAAGCUCUGUGGGGAGAGACGAAUAAGUGCGGGCUAAUACUCCGCAUGAUGACGGUAUCUCCUUAGCAAGCACCGGCUACCUCUGUGCCAGCAGCCGCGGUAAGACAGAGGGUGCAAACGUUGUUCGGAAUUACUGGGCGUAAAGCGUGUAUAGGCGGCGUGAAAGCCCUGGGCUCAACCCAGGAAGUGCACUCGAUACUGCAUGGCUUGAGUACCUGAGAGGUUGGUGGAAUUCUCGGUGUAGAGGUGAAAUUCGUAGAUAUCGAGAGGAACACCGGUGGCGAAGGCGGCCAACUGGACGGAUACUGACGCUGAGACACGAAAGCGUGGGGAGCAAACAGGAUUAGAUACCCGAGUAGUC
rnacentral:rRNA from 1 species